ensembl:misc_RNA Metazoa_SRP Metazoan signal recognition particle RNA
GGGAAAGGUGGUGCAUGCCUAUAUUCUCAACUUCUUGGGAGACUGAGCCAGGGGCAUUGCUUGAGCCAAGGAUUUCUAAGAUGUAGUGUGUCAUGCCAGUCAGAUGUCCAAACUAAGUUUUUCAUCAGUGUGGUGACCUCCCGUGAGCAGGAGACUACCAGGUGGCUCAAAGAAGGGUGAACUAUCCCAGGUCAGAAAUGAAGCGGUCAAAACUCUCAUGCUGAUCCAUAGUGGGAUCGCACCUGUGAAUAGUCACAAUAGUCACUGCAUUCCAGCCUGGACAACAUAAUGAUACCCUGUGUCU